GGGAGCCCGGCGCGCAGAUAAGCCGCCGCGCCCGCGCCCACCUGCACAGCACCAGCGCACGCCGGCGCCCGCCCCGCCGCCCGGCACCUGCCCCACGCCCGCCCCACCGCACGCCCCACGCCCGCCGCGCAGACGCCGCCGCCGCCCCUCUGCCCCGCGAGGAAGAGGAGCGCGAGGAAGGCGGGGACGAGAGGAGCAUCGGCGAGGCAGCGCCCGGACGGCACGCGCCCCCCCCGCCGCCUUCCCGCGCCCACCAUGAGCAACCUGCCCAAGGACAGCGAGCACAGCAGCAACAGCCUCGAGGAAGAGGUCCGGACACUUUUUGUCAGUGGUCUUCCUGUGGACAUCAAGCCCAGGGAGCUUUACCUGCUUUUCCGGCCAUUCAAGGGUUAUGAAGGGUCACUGAUCAAACUAACAUCAAAACAGCCGGUAGGCUUUGUUACCUUCGACAGCCGGUCUGGUGCAGAAGCUGCAAAGAACGCUUUGAACGGUAUCCGCUUUGACCCGGAGAAUCCCCAGACGCUGCGGUUAGAGUUUGCCAAAGCUAACACCAAGAUGGCGAAAAGCAAGCUGAUGGCCACACCAAACCCCACCAACCUGCACCCUGCCCUGGGAGCACAUUUCAUCGCACGGGACCCUUAUGACCUGACUGGCGCAGCCCUGAUCCCAGCGUCGCCAGAGGCGUGGGCCCCCUACCCACUGUACUCCACUGAGCUCACCCCUGCAAUCCCACAUGCUGCUUUCACCUAUCCAGCUGCCGCCGCCGCUGCUGCCGCCCUUCAUGCCCAGUGACCUGCAGCCAGGAUGCCUACACAGGCUAGCCCUGGAGGUGCGGGACACCCUGAACCUCCCUGCUAGAGUGCAGUUGGCUGUACAGCAGCUUCAUUCCUAGAAGCCUUUAAGGAUGGUCUGGAAAGGCUGGUAAGAUGCGCUGGUACCCUCCCUCCGAAGCCACCCAACAAGGAUGGAAGUCUCGCCAGUUCUGUUAGCUUUAAACCGUCUCUCAGCCCACAUGUCCGCUUCUUGUCUCUCCAUGGAGUGAUGUGCCGGGGAUGAAGUCGCCUGUGGAUCGCUGGGAAUCUUCCCCCAAACUCUAUCUGUGGCUACCGGCAAGGUGCCCAGCUGCAGUAACGUGUCCCCCUUGCAAAUGGAGGUGUGGGCUUCCCUGCCCGAGACUGGCCGUGGCGGCCCCACCUCCCCCCCCCCCCGGCCCCCCCGGCCGCCUUGGUUUUUGUCCCCCCCCCCCCCCCCCCCGCUUGCCUCCCGCCCCUCCGCUUACCCAGGGCUGGGUCUCUUCCCGCUGAGCAGAGGCCUGGCCGGAGAGAGCGGCCUUGGGGGCCCCGCGUUCUCGUGGUCUGUUGCUCCCAGCUGGGCUGCUGGCGUUGGCUGUGUGCAGUGCAAUAUCCAGGUCUGUCUUCGAAGCAUUGUUUAUGCAGUCCUGCUGCAGGAAGCAAAAGGCAAUCUGUUUUGCAUGUUUUCUGGCAUGAAUUUAAAACACUUUAACUUGGUGGGUGUGUGAGUGUGCAAAGCUUGUUUUUGUUCUAGCAUUCGUGUAACCAUAGUGACAGGCCUUGGCCUAGCUAUUGAUCACCGAAGUUUUUCAUCUUGCUUCCGUGAAGACUCAGGCUUCUAAAAAUGCUUUCCCCGUCCUGCCCCGUCCUUUCCCCUCUUCUUUCUGUUUUGAUCCCUCUGCCACCAUUUCAAGCUUCGCUUUCCGUUUUCUGCUUUUACUAGAAUUUGAAAAAUCUUCUCAAAAGUACAAUGCACUGGGUUUCUUGUCCAUUUUGCCCUUUUCCAGUUCAAGUCAGGGUUGUUUUUGUGUUUUGUUUUUCUGUCAGACUUCUAUAUAAAGAACAGCUGUAAAAUAUUUAACCUUUUUUUCCACAUCCCUCUGAUUGGAGAGAAUCCAGUCUUGCCAAAUAAUCAGCCAUCCUUAUGGGAAUACCGAACAAAGAUGUACAAGUAUUUUUGUACCAUGUGUAAUAAGGAAAUAUUUAUGCAUCAUAAAGAUUUUGUGUGGUUUUUGUGCAAUUAAUUAUUAUUAAAGAGAAAUUGUAAUCUGUAAGAUAAGUUUAAUGUUUAGUUAAAAGCUUGAAGAGAGACAUUUUUUCUGUAACUGAUUCAGUCAGGCAUAGUAACAAGAAAUUGUGCAAUUUUUUUGUUGACAUUUUAUUGCUUGGUAUUUGGAAGUGCUUUAAGUAUUAUAUUGGACCAUGGCUGUCUCGCUUGUAUUAAGAUUCUUGAGAAUACGUUGCUAUAUCCUAUGAGAAUGUGAAACUGGAUAAUAUAUGAAUUGUACUCA